GCGGAAGUAGUUCAGUGGUAGAACAUCACCUUGCCAAGGUGGGGGUCGCGGGUUCGAACCCCGUCUUUCGCUCCA
rnacentral:tRNA from 1 species